GGGAAUUCGAGAGGUUGAGUUCCUGUGGAAUUUUUCUCAAGGUGGAUUGGAAGUUGGUGACAUCUUUUCAAAGGCAGAGCAGCAGCCAGAGGCCCAAAGCAGCUGUGACACAGCAAAGCCACAGAGCUGUCAAGUAGCAGAGCUGGACUCAAACCGAGGCCCCCAUCUGCUUCCUAGGACUCCACUGGGGCUGGUGCCACUGAUUGAUGAGGGGCAGCCCAGGUGCCUUUCCCAGGCCUGCCCGGCGCACAGUCCCGGAAGGAAGAGCAGGAAGGCCCACCCCUGGCAAG